AUACCACUGUAGCAAUUUUUCGAUUUCUUUUACCAAUUACCAUGGCAUGAAUUUGCUCAUCAUCCACUUCUUGGGUUUUCAACUUUUAUAUCUUACCCCGAAGGUUAUGGGUUCGAGUCGCAGUCUUACAUUGUAUUGAAUAAUAUAAAGAAUACGAAAAGAUAUAUUCCUCUUUUAUUUCGUUUUGCCUUUUUUCUGUAGGUAAUUUUCCUGCAAAACCCGAGAAAUCUUUUAAUAAACUGGGUUCCAUUUCACUGAAAAGAUAGACACGAAUUCUUUCCAAUCAUGCUCAAAUCAUCCUUGGCACCUAUUCUUUCAAUCAUUCCAAUGAAACCACCAAAAUAUCCAGUUGCGUGUCUCUCACUUUUUCGUCCAUCAGCUGUUCGUGAUAAUGUCUCAGCAAACGCGGUUGAACCACCACCUCAGUCAUAUCCAACUUCAGCUUAUAUUCAUCUUCCUUUCUGCAGAAAACGUUGUCAUUACUGUGACUUUCCUAUUGUUGCUCUCGGUUCAUCAUCUGCGAACCUACCCGAUGACAUUGAUGAUCCGCGCAUUCUGAAUUAUGUUCAACUCCUUUGUCGAGAGAUUGAAGCAACAAAGGUUCUCAAAUCGGAUAACCACUCACCUCUUAAAACGGUGUUUUUUGGAGGUGGCACACCUUCUCUUGUUCCUCCAAGACUUGUUUCGAAAAUAUUAGAAACGUUGAACUUGAAAUUUGGAGUGAAUUCUAAUGCUGAAAUUUCUAUAGAAAUGGAUCCUGGAACUUUUGAUGCACAAAAAUUGAGCGACUUACUGAACCUUGGUGUUAAUAGAGUAUCUUUGGGAGUUCAAGCAUUUCAAGAGGAGUUGUUGAAGGCUUGUGGCAGAGCUCAUAGUUUGAAACAAGUGUACGAAGCUAUAGAGAUUAUUGGUUCCUGUGGUGCAAGUAAUUGGAGUUUGGAUCUUAUUUCAUCACUCCCUCAUCAAACCUCAGAAAUGUGGAAAGAGAGUUUGGAACGCGCCAUAAAGGCAGAACCAACUCAUGUCUCGGUUUAUGAUCUGCAAGUGGAGAAAGGCACCAAAUUUGGAUUAUUGUAUAAACCUGGUGAAUUUCCUUUGCCAGAUGAUACUCUAUCAGCAGAGUUUUACAAAAUGGCUUCAAAGACACUCUGUAAUACUGGUUACAAUCAUUAUGAGAUUAGCAGUUACUGCAAAAAGGGGUACGAAUGCCAACACAAUCUUACAUACUGGAAGAACGGAUACUACUAUGCAUUUGGUCUUGGGUCUGCAAGUCACCUCGACGGGGUAAGAUUUUCACGGCCAAGGAAAAUGAAAGAGUACACAAGUUACGUCCAAAAUCUGGAAGAUGGAGCAUUAAUUCAGCAUGAAAAUGGCCAAAAGGAUGCGAAGGACUUGGAAAUGGAUGUUGUAAUGCUUUCUCUUCGGACUUCCAAAGGCCUGGACUUGACAUCUUUUAGAGAAUGUUUUGGUAGUGGUCUUGUUUUAUCUCUUUGCAAGACUUUUAGACCAUAUAUAGAGAGUGGACAUGUACUUCUGUUAGAUGAUAAAAGAAGAGUGUUAGUGGAAGAAGAAUUCUGGUCAGUGUUGUCUAACGAGAGUAAGAUUGAAGAGGAAGUGGCGUUCAUUCGGCUUAGUGAUCCAGAUGGUUUCCUACUAUCAAAUGAGUUAAUAUCUAUUGCAUUUGGUUGCAUAUCCCCAUAACGAUGAUAUUACUGUUGCAGCUCAGACUUUUAUUUGUGAAUCAAAUACUCUAGUAACUAUAAUACAGUAAGCUGGAGUUCCAAUGGAAGGAAUUUUGCUCUAGCAGCACUGCACCAUGGACUGCCAUUUGGCUUAUUUAUGAUUGUGUAGUUGAAGCAAUAGUGAUAAGGACUAAGAAUCGGUCUGGGGACUGCAGGCAAAGUCCAUACAUGUAGAAAACAGGGUGAUUGCGUUUUCUUCGAUAAAGUGAGUUGCAGCAUUAUCUAGUCAAUCUUCUUAUCAGGUCGCAGUACUAUUGUAGCGAAUCAAGUUUCAACAACGAAGGUUUUGAAUUGCCUGAGAGUUUUUUUAUGCUUGGUUUACAGUAUUUCGAUGAAAGUUCAUCUCGAAACUUAAAGUUUUA